AGAAACUAAGAAAAAGUCACGUCUUCUCUCAUGGGAUCUGAGAAGGCAGUCACAUCUGCUGGGUAGCGGGUGCAGGGCCCGGUCCGCGGCACUUGUUUAUUGUCGCGCCGCUGGUGCGAGCCAAGCUGCAGCAGACAUGAUGGCCCGGGGCGAAGCAGGAGCCCAGUGGCCGGUAGGUGGCAGCCGAGGGCGAAGGCGUCCCUGGGCUCUGGAGGCAUAGCCAGAACCCCCUUAGAUGUCACAUUCGUGGAGACAGAGGAGUCUUGGACCAUGUGCGCAACUGGAGCGUAGGAGUGUGCACUCGUCUUCUCGGAAAGGAAGGGCUGGAAAUAACCCUGACAGUGUUAGGCUUGGUGGCGAUCAGGGACAGAUGACUCUUACCGGUAGCCGUUUGCCCAAAUGCUUCUGCCCUUUGGAAGAGUCUUUGUGGCAGUGUGAGUUGUCUCCAGUAAGGGACCCUGGAGGGAGUGGCUCAUCCUAGCUAUAAAGAGUGUGUUAUUUUUAUCUUUUUUUUUUAAAGAAUCACUUUUUCUAAGUAUGUCGGAGUGAUUGAGCAGAGAGAAAAAUGAAUACCCUAAGCGAACUAGAAAUCUGGAAAGAACCGAAAUAGAGGCAGUGUCUCAUGACACUUUACUUGAGGACUCACCUGAUGAACUGCUGAUCAACUCUAUAGGUUCAGAUAUCUCCAACCAAAGAACAAGUCAGCCAUGCUAUAAGUGCCUUGAAAUCAAGUUCUAAGUGAUCUGUUGCCCUUCUCUUGCCUCUACCUGCUUACAGAGCCCUCUGAACUCCAGGAAAACACUUUGCCAUGGGCAUGUAUGAUUUUUCCAAGUGCAGAGUGAUGUCGACACAUCAUGGACUCUGGUCUGUGCUCCACUACAGAAGGCUACCACUGUCUUACAAGUCGAUUUUAAAAUACUCACAGCUUCACUUUCUUUUAACAGUCCUUUAGCUCAGAAUGUUCUUGUCUGUCUGGGCCUGCCUUGAAAUUGAUCCUGGAUUUGAAACUGACAACUGUGAACUAGCAAGAAAAUGGUGCUGCAAGAGUUUUCAUGUUUGAAGAAGAUUCAAAGACGGGUCUGAUUGUAUAGGUUCAUGGCUCAGUCACAAAUAAACAUAGGUUCUGAUCACCUGAGCUCUUCAGUUCACUCGGAUUCGGAAGUGCUCUCUCUCUCUCUCUCUCUGUCUCUCUCUCUCUGUGUCUGUGUGUGUGUGUAAUAAAAUGUAAUGCA
rnacentral:lncRNA from 1 species